rnacentral:rRNA from 1 species
CCUACGGGAGGCAGCAGUGGGGAAUAUUGGACAAUGGGGGCAACCCUGAUCCAGCCAUGCCGCGUGUGUGAAGAAGGCCCUCGGGUUGUAAAGCACUUUCAGUGAGGAAGAACGCCUGGUGGUUAAUACCCAUCAGGAAAGACAUCACUCACAGAAGAAGCACCGGCUAACUCCGUGCCAGCAGCCGCGGUAAUACGGAGGGUGCGAGCGUUAAUCGGAAUUACUGGGCGUAAAGCGCGCGUAGGUGGCUUGAUAAGCCGGUUGUGAAAGCCCCGGGCUCAACCUGGGAACGGCAUCCGGAACUGUCAAGCUAGAGUGCAGGAGAGGAAGGUAGAAUUCCCGGUGUAGCGGUGAAAUGCGUAGAGAUCGGGAGGAAUACCAGUGGCGAAGGCGGCCUUCUGGACUGACACUGACACUGAGGUGCGAAAGCGUGGGUAGCAAACAGGAUUAGAUAUCCGAGUAGUC